UCAUUAGGAUAUGAAUUUAAUGGUCUGC
rnacentral:sRNA from 1 species